GUGUCAGCCGCCGCGGGUAAUACGUAGGUGGCAAGCGUUGUCCGGAUUUAUUGGGCGUAAAGCGAGCGCAGGCGGUUUCUUAAGUCUGAUGUGAAAGCCCCCGGCUCAACCGGGGAGGGUCAUUGGAAACUGGGAGACUUGAGUGCAGAAGAGGAGAGUGGAAUUCCAUGUGUAGCGGUGAAAUGCGUAGAUAUAUGGAGGAACACCAGUGGCGAAGGCGGCUCUCUGGUCUGUAACUGACGCUGAGGAGCGAAAGCGUGGGGAGCGAACAGGAUUAGAAACCCCCGUAGUCC
rnacentral:rRNA from 1 species